rnacentral:rRNA from 1 species
AUGGACUACUUGGGGAUGACAACAAUUCCAAAGAAACACAUAGUCAAGAGAUGGACGAAGGAUGCAAGGGACAUUUUGCCUGAGCACCUGCAGCACUACCAGAAAGAUCAGAUAACGACUAGCACGCUCACAUUCAGGCACAACCGAAUGUAUGUGCAAGCGCUAGAGCUGGUCAGGUUGGGAGAUGCCAGUGUCGAGGCGUACGAUACUUUGAUGGGCUUGUUCAAGCAAGCCAUGACUGUUAUGGCACCGUACGACAUGCAGAGGGACAGGCUGGGCCUGGAAGACCGUGGCCAUAACAGGAAGCAAGCGAAUGGAGUCGUUGGCAAACGGGAUAAUGUGGAAAAAACCAAGAAUCAAGAUGAGGGGAGCGCCUUGGCGGGCCUUGAACCUCCAGCUAAGAAGAGGAAUGCAGGUCGCCCCACCAAUGCUAGAGACAGGCCACCAUACGAAGGGCUUAGCAAGAGGAGCAGAUUUUGCAGUAUUUGCAAGGUACCAGGACACAAGAAGACUACAUGCCCGCAACGAGAAGACGCGCCGAAGGUGCCCAGGAAAGAAGGUAGAUGCAGCAAUUGUGGUGUGGCGGGACAUAGGAAAAACACGUGCGACAGAGUUGGGGGCGACCAAGCUGAUCAGCAGUAG